rnacentral:lncRNA from 1 species
CCAUUUUUGUUAUCAGUCACUUAAGCUUUUCAUUUGCUUUUGAAAAGCAUUCUUUAAAAGACACAAUAAAAUAUUUGGAAAUCUUUUCAGAAGCUUCCGCACAUCAAUAGGCGUGACCCCAGAUGGACCUAAUUUGGGAACCCUCGUUUUUAGAGUCACUUCUUUAAGUGCAAUGUUCUUCAUCUGGAUUAUUCCACCUAAUGGCCAUGGUAAUUUUAAAUUAUCUUUAGUAAAAUUUCAUCAUUUUUGUAAGUAUUUGCAUUUUCUGGUACCUAAUACUUUUAUAUGUGAAGGCAGAAAUAGCUGGAAAGUGUAGUACUCAGUUCUUUAGAAAUUAAGGAUUCUAAUUUUUCACUGAAUCUUGGAUCUCUCAAAGCCAAGAUAAAAGCCUGAGAGGAAAACCCCACUGGGUUGGGUUGUGUAAUGCUUUCACAAUGUAGUUUGUUUAAAGGGCAUUUUCUUGAGCCUCACAGGCAGUAACCCAUUCUGUGUCCAGUUUAUCCUAAAACGGGAGAUUUAUUUUUUGGUGGUAAGCACUCUAUAGCUAUUAAGUGCCCAACUCAUGUCUACCAGUCAAGUUGUGGUUUUGGCUCUGAGAUACCCUUGAUCCACUUAGCCAGUAAUUUUUCAGUUUCCAUCUGACCCAGUCAGAAGGCACACAAAGUGUGCUCAAUGUACAUGUACUAUGUGGAUGAAAAGUCUGGAAAAUACCAAAUAAUGCAGGAUCAUUCAGAGUAAACAAAGGUCAAAGCAAAAAUUGAUAAUAUGUAACUGCAACUGGAGCAUCAAGAGAUGAAGUAUUUCUAGAUGGAGUAUUGAGAAAAACCAAUGCCACAGAGGAUUAACAAAGAAAGAGCUUCUAGGAGAGAACAGCGACCAAAACUACUAGAAC